rnacentral:lncRNA from 11 species
CCUACCCUCAAAGGGACUCCCUAAGAGUGGAACUGGGAGCCAAAGGGAGAAGACAGGCCCCUCCCCCUCUGGGGACCCCUUCCCUCUUGGGCCAGGGCUUCCCUUGGGUUGGAGAGGGGAGGGGGGACGGCUGGAGGGAAUGGGGGCCCAGGGCUUACCUUGGAGGAGCCACAGGAAUAUCCUCUGUGUUCUCGAAGCCCACUCGGCAAAGGAAGGCAAUGGCGGGGCCAACUGACUGGAGGCGCCUCAGAACCCCAUGGCAACCAUGGACCAUCCUGAGGGGGCACACAGAGAGGCCUGGGCCAGAGAGGCAUCCCUGCGGAGUGGCCCC